UAGGGAAUCUUCCACAAUGGACGCAAGUCUGAUGGAGCAACGCCGCGUGAGUGAAGAAGGUUUUCGGAUCGUAAAGCUCUGUUGUUGGUGAAGAAGGAUAGAGGCAGUAACUGGCCUUUAUUUGACGGUAAUCAACCAGAAAGUCACGGCUAACUACGUGCCAGCAGCCGCGGUAAUACGUAGGUGGCAAGCGUUGUCCGGAUUUAUUGGGCGUAAAGCGAGCGCAGGCGGAAGAAUAAGUCUGAUGUGAAAGCCCUCGGCUUAACCGAGGAACUGCAUCGGAAACUGUUUUUCUUGAGUGCAGAAGAGGAGAGUGGAACUCCAUGUGUAGCGGUGGAAUGCGUAGAUAUAUGGAAGAACACCAGUGGCGAAGGCGACUCUCUGGUCUGCAACUGACGCUGAGGCUCGAAAGCAUGGGUAGCGAACAGGAUUAGAUACCCUGGUAGUCCAUGCCGUAAACGAUGAGUGCUAAGUGUUGGGAGGUUUUUCGCCUCUCAGUGCUGCAGCUAACGCAUUAAGCACUCCGCCUGGGGGAGUACGACCGCAAGGUUGAAAC
rnacentral:rRNA from 1 species